AUGCUUGGCAUAAAAUAUGUGAAUGAUGAGUAUGAUUGCAAUGUUGUUAGUAUGAAUUCUUUGAAUAUUCAUGAUACUAAUGAUAUGCAAAGCCACAAUCAUGGGGAUGCUAUAUUUGAUGAAGAUGAUAUGUUUAGUCCCCCAAGUUUUGUUGAGGAAAUUUAUUAUGAUGAAAGCAUGCCUCCUAUCUAUGAUGAUUAUUGUGAUGACAUGUAUGCAAUAAAGAAAAAUGAUAUCCAUGAAACUUGUCAUCAUUAUUUGAAUGCUCAAAUUGAUUAUGUGAAUGAAGUAUCAUAUGAUAGUUAUUUUGUUGAAUUUGCUCCUCCCACUACUAUUCAUGAGAAGAAAUUUGCUUAUGUGGAGAGUAACAAAAAUUCUAUGCUUGUAGAUCAUGAAAAGAAUGCUUUAUGUGAUGGUUAUAUUGUUGAAUUCAUUCAUGAUGCUACUGAAAAUUAUUACGAGGGAGGAACAUAUGCUUGUAGGAAUUGCAAUAAUAUCAAGUUUCCUCUCUAUGUGGUUAAAGUUUUGAAGUUAUGCUUGUUUUACCUUCCUAUGCUAGUUGAUUAUUGUUCCCAUAAGUUGUUUGCUCACAAAAUCCCUAUGCAUAGGAAGUGGGUUAGACUUAAAUGUGUUAGUCAUAUUCUUCAUGAUGCUCUCUUUAUGUUUCAAUUCUUAUCUUUUAUGCGAGCAUCAUUGAAAUCAUCAUGCCUAGCUAGGGGUGUUAAACGUUAG
rnacentral:rRNA from 1 species